rnacentral:rRNA from 1 species
AUUGAACGCUAGCGGGAUGCCUUACACAUGCAAGUCGAACGGAGUGGCGAACGGGUGAGUAAUGUAUCGGAACGUGCCCAGUAGCGGGGGAUAACUACGCGAAAGCGUAGCUAAUACCGCAUACUAUUUGAACCGCCGAGAUCGGAAUAGCUGGUUUGUGGGGUAACGGUUCACAAAGGCGACGACCCGUAGCCGGUUUGAGAGGACGACCAGCCAGAUGGGGACGGAGACACGGCCCAGACUCCUACGGGAGGAAGAAGUGGGGAAUUUUGGAAAAUGGGGGAAACCCUGAUCCAGCCAUCCCGCGUGUGGGAUGAAGGCCUGCGGGUUGUAAAGCACUUUGGGCAGGAAGGCGGUACCUGCAGAAGAAGCACCGGCUAACUACGUGCCAGCAGCCGCGGUAAUUC